GAUGAACGCUGGCGGCGUGCCUAAUACAUGCAAGUCGAGCGAACAGACGAGGAGCUUGCUCCUCUGAAGUUAGCGGCGGACGGGUGAGUAACACGUGGAUAACCUACCUAUAAGACUGGGAUAACGUCGGGAAACCGGAGCUAAUACCGGAUAAUAUAUUGAACCGCAUGGUUCAAUAGUGAAAGACGGUUUUGCUGUCACUUAUAGAUGUAUCCGCGCCGCAUUAGCUAGUUGGUAAGGUAACGGCUUACCAAGGCGACGAUGCGUAGCCGACCUGAGAGGGUGAUCGGCCACACUGGAACUGAGACACGGUCCAGACUCCUACGGGAGGCAGCAGUAGGGAAUCUUCCGCAAUGGGCGAAAGCCUGACGGAGCAACGCCGCGUGAGUGAUGAAGGUCUUCGGAUCGUAAAACUCUGUUAUUAGGGAAGAACAAAUGUGUAAGUAACUAUGCACGUCUUGACGGUACCUAAUCAGAAAGCCACGGCUAACUACGUG
rnacentral:rRNA from 1 species